AUACGGAGGGUGCAAGCGUUACUCGGAAUCACUGGGCGUAAAGCGCGCGCAGGCGGCUAUUUAAGUUGGAUGUGAAAGCCUGCGGCUCAACCGUAGAACUGCAUCCAAAACUAUUUAGCUAGAGUGUGGGAGAGGAAGAUGGAAUUAGUUGUGUAGGGGUAAAAUCCGUAGAGAUAACUAGGAAUACCAAAAGCGAAGGCAAUCUUCUGGAACACUACUGACGCUGAGGCGCGAAAGCGUGGGGAGCAAACAGGAUUAGAUACCCCAGUAGUCC
rnacentral:rRNA from 1 species